UGGAGGGCGAGAAUCCCCGAUGGGGUUUGAGCCGAGUGAAGCGAGACAACGACGCGUAGUGACGACCCGAAGGGCGAAACGAAGUCGAGUAAUCCCGCUAACC
rnacentral:sRNA from 1 species